CCUACGGGCGGCAGCAGUGGGGAAUAUUGCACAAUGGGCGCAAGCCUGAUGCAGCCAUGCCGCGUGUAUGAAGAAGGCCUUCUGGUUGUAAAGUACUUUCAGCGGGGAGGAAGGUGUUGUGGUUAAUAACCACAGCAAUUGACGUUACUCGCAGAAGAAGCACCGGCUAACUCCGUGCCAGCAGCCGCGGUAAUACGGAGGGUGCAUGCGUUAAUCGGAAUUACUGGGCGUAAAGCGCACGCAGGCGGUCUGUCAAGUCGGAUGUGAAGUCCCCGGGCUCAACCUGGGAACUGCAUUCGAAACUGGCAGGCUAGAGUCUUGUAGAGGGGGGUAGAAUUCCAGGUGUAGCGGUGAAAUGCGUAGAGAUCUGGAGGAAUACCGGUGGCGAAGGCGGCCCCCUGGACAAAGACUGGCGCUCAGGUGCGAAAGCGUGGGGAGCAAACAGGAUUAGAUACCCCCGUAGUC
rnacentral:rRNA from 1 species